rnacentral:rRNA from 1 species
CCUACGGGGGGCUGCAGUGGGGAAUAUUGGACAAUGGGGGCAACCCUGAUCCAGCCAUGCCGCGUGUGUGAAGAAGGCCCUCGGGUUGUAAAGCACUUUCAGUGAGGAAGAACGCCUGGUGGUUAAUACCCAUCAGGAAAGACAUCACUCACAGAAGAAGCACCGGCUAACUCCGUGCCAGCAGCCGCAGGUAAUACGGAGGGUGCGAGCGUUAAUCGGAAUUACUGGGCGUAAAGCGCGCGUAGGUGGCUUGAUAAGCCGGUUGUGAAAGCCCCGGGCUCAACCUGGGAACGGCAUCCGGAACUGUCAAGCUAGAGUGCAGGAGAGGAAGGUAGAAUUCCCGGUGUAGCGGUGAAAUGCGUAGAGAUCGGGAGGAAUACCAGUGGCGAAGGCGGCCUUCUGGACUGACACUGACACUGAGGUGCGAAAGCGUGGGUAGCAAACAGGAUUAGAUACCCUGGUAGUC